UGCUCUCUGAAGUGUUCGCCAGCGGUGCAUGUCCCUGGCCGAUGCUUUUAACACCAGGGGGUUCCGCUUAGUGCGGCUGCGCAUGCUCGGCACGACCGAGAAGCCGAAAGCACCGACGGGAUUCCCGCCUUGAACUUACGGUUCAAGGGCUUCACUCCGCAGCGGCACUUUCGGAGAGCGC
rnacentral:other from 1 species